UACGAACCGUGCGAACGUUGUUCGGAAUCACUGGGCUUAAAGGGCGCGUAGGCGGGCGGUCAAGUCAGGGGUGAAAUCCCACGGCUCAACCGUGGAAGUGCCUUUGAUACUGGCCGCCUCGAGGGAGGUAGGGGCGUGCGGAACUUCCGGUGGAGCGGUGAAAUGCGUAGAUAUCGGAAGGAACACCGGUGGCGAAAGCGGCGCGCUGGACCUUUACUGACGCUGAGGCGCGAAAGCCAGGGGAGCAAACGGG
rnacentral:rRNA from 1 species